CAUAUCAGUAACCAUGGUACUGUAGUCCCAUAAUAAAAUCAACCACGAUAGGGGAGCUGGCAUUAAACCAUCUGCUCUCUGAGGGAAGGAGAAGCGUUUACCGUUGUCGUCAAAAUGAAGAUCUUGCUGCUGAUACUGGUCGUUGGGCUGUUUGCGUCGGAGUCAGUCAUGACCGAGGCGGGUCUCUCAACGGUGGAAAGACUUAGAAGGGAAUGCAAUAUUUCACCAGGUUGUUUUGUCCGUAUCGGGAAAAAAAGACAAUUUGUAAAACGAGCCGAGAAGAAGAAGCCUAUCGCCUAAUGGACCAGUAAUUGGAAUUUGUACCAACCAUCAACAAGGUCGGCCGCACAGGGUGCUUGGAAAGAGUCUGAACAGAGAAUGUUUAGCUGCAAAGUCCUUACAUUUUCCCUUUUAUAUGUCGUUGCAAGCCUUGAUCUAAUAAAGAACUCUUUUAUCCGUA